rnacentral:rRNA from 1 species
GACGAACGCUGGCGGCGUGCUUAACACAUGCAAGUCGAGCGGUAAGGCCUUUCGGGGUACACGAGCGGCGAACGGGUGAGUAACACGUGGGUGAUCUGCCCUGCACUUCGGGAUAAGCCUGGGAAACUGGGUCUAAUACCGGAUAUGACCUCCUAUCGCAUGGUGGGUGGUGGAAAGAUUUAUCGGUGCAGGAUGGGCCCGCGGCCUAUCAGCUUGUUGGUGGGGUAAUGGCCUACCAAGGCGACGACGGGUAGCCGACCUGAGAGGGUGACCGGACACACUGGGACUGAGACACGGCCCAGACUCCUACGGGAGGCAGCAGUGGGGAAUAUUGCACAAUGGGCGAAAGCCUUAUGCAGCGACGCCGCGUGAGGGAUGACGGCCUUCGGGUUGUAAACCUCUUUCAGCAGAGACGAAGCGCAAGUGACGGUACCUGCAGAAGAAGCACCGGCUAACUACGUG